ensembl:lncRNA
GGCUGGGUGCUGGAGGGUCAGUGCUGAAGGACAGAGUAGAGACGUGAGGAUGGGUGCUGGAGGGUCAGUGCUGAAGGACAGAGUAGAGACGUAAGGCUGGGUGCUGGAGGGUCAGUGCUGAAGGACAGAGUAGAGAUGUAAGGCUGGGUGCUGGAGGGUCAGUGCUGAAGGACAGAGUAGAGACGUGAGGCUGGGUGCUGGAGGGUCAGUGCUGAAGGACAGAGUAGAGACGUGAGGAUGGGUGCUGGAGGGUCAGUGCUGAAGAACAGAGUGGAGAUGUGAGGCUGGGUGCUGGAGGGUCAGUGCUGAAGGACAGAGUAGAGAUGUAAGGCUGAGUGCUGGAGGGUCAGUGCUGAAGGACAGAGUAUAGAUGUGAGGCUGGGUGCUGGAGGGUCAGUGCUGAAGGACAGAGUAGAGACGUAAGGCUGGGUGCUGGAGGGUCAGUGCUGAAGGACAGAGUAGAGACGUGAGGCUGGGUGCUGGAGGGUCAGUGCUGAAGGACAGAGUAGAGACGUGAGGCUGGGUGCUGGAGGGUCAGUGCUGAAGGACAGAGGAGAGACGUAAGGUUGGGUGCUGGAGGGUCAGUAUUGAAGGAAAGAGUAGAGAUGUAAGGCU